rnacentral:tRNA from 2 species
GGUGGUGUGGUGUAAUGGUAGCACGUGACGUUGUGGCUAAACACAGUGAUCCGUUUCAAUCUGGGUUCGAUUCCCAGCACCGCCA